ACGGCUCAGUAACACGUAGUCAACCUAACCUAUGGACGGAGAUAACCUCGGGAAACUGAGAAUAAUAUCCGAUAGAACACUAUACCUGGAAUGGUUUGUGUUCCAAAUGAUUUAUCGCCGUAGGAUGGGACUGCGGCCUAUCAGUUUGUUGGUGAGGUAAUGGCCCACCAAGACUAUUACAGGUACGGGCUCUGAGAGGAGUAGCCCGGAGAUGGGUACUGAGACACGGACCCAGGCCCUAUGGGGCGCAGCAGGCGAGAAAACUUUGCAAUGUGCGAAAGCACGACAAGGUUAAUCCGAGUGAUUUGUGCUAAACGAAUCUUUUGUUAGUCUUAGAACCACUAACGAAUAAGGGGUGGGCAAGUUCUGGUGUCAGCCGCCGCGGUAAAACCAGCACCUCAAGUGGUCAGGAUGAUUAUUGGGCCUAAAGCAUCCGUAGCCGGCUCUGUAAGUUUUCGGUUAAAUCUGUACGCUCAACGUACAGGCUGCCGGGAAUACUGCAGAGCUAGGGAGUGGGAGAGGUAGACGGUACUCGGAAGGAAGGGGUAAAAUCCUUUGAUCUUUUGAUGACCACCUGUGGCGAAGGCGGUCUACCAGAACACGUCCGACGGUGAGGGAUGAAAGCUGGGGGAGCAAACCGGAUUAGAUACCCGGGUAGUCCCAGCUGUAAACUAUGCAAACUCAGUGAUGCAUUGACUUGUGGUCAAUGCAGUGCUGCAGGGAAGCCGUUAAGUUUGCCGCCUGGGAAGUACGUACGCAAGUAUGAAACUUAAAGGAAUUGGCGGGGGAGCAC
rnacentral:rRNA from 1 species